UACGUAGGCAGCAAGCGUUGUUCGGAGUUACUGGGCGUAAAGAGUGCGUAGGCGGUCUUUUAAGUUUGGUGUGAAAUCUCCCGGCUCAACUGGGAGGGUGCGCCGAAAACUGGGAGGCUUGAGGAUGGGAGAGGCAUGCGGAAUUCCUGGUGUAGCGGUGAAAUGCGUAGAUAUCAGGAGGAACACCUGCGGUGUAGACAGCAUGCUGGACCAUUUCUGACGCUGAGGCACGAAAGCGUGGGUAGCAAACAGG
rnacentral:rRNA from 1 species